rnacentral:rRNA from 1 species
AAAACUUGACUUAUUAUUAAUUUGUUUUGUCUUAUUUAAUUUUUAAUAUAUUAUUUUAUUUUUUUUUAUGUAAUUUUUAAUGAUUGAAUGUUUUUUAUUAUAGUUUAAAAGUACUUUAGAGGAAAGUUUUUAUUUAUGAAGGUAAUUGUUAGUAUCUUCCUUUUGCAUCAUGAGUUAGUAAAAAUAGGGGCUAUUUUAGUUUUUCCCGAAUAAUAUUGAGUUAAUUUUAUACUGUUUUUUAUUGUGGCAACAAUAUGAUAAAUUUAAAAUUAGGGGUGAAAUGCCAGUCGAAUUAUUAAUUAUCUGGUAAUCUUAUUAUGACUUUAGGUCUAUAUUAAAAAUUUAUGAAAUUAAUUUUUAUUUUUGAUUUGUCAACUUUUAAGGAUAAGCUUAUUGGUUCUGUAUAAAAGUACGAUUUAUGGUUAGAGAUGUUGUUAAAAUUGGGUAGAAUUUAAAGUUUUUUCCAAUAAUGUGUUUUAUAACUUAUUUAAACUUAUUAUUUGAUUUAUUUUAUGCUCUGAGACUUAAUUUAAUAAUGAUUAUUUAGUUAAACGUUUUCUAAGGAAAUUAUUUUAAUAUUAGUAGAUAAAAUUAAUAUUACAGAGUUAUUUUUUAUAUUUUAACUUAAAGAUAUUUUAUUUGGAUAGUGAUGAGGUAAAGGAACUCGGCAAAAAUGAACUUCGGUUGUUUAACAAAAACAUGGCUAGCAGAAAAUAUUUUUAGUCGUGCCUGCCCGGUGAGUAUUUAAACGGCCGCGGUAUUUUGACCGUGCAAAGGUAGCAUAAUCAUUUGCCUUUUAAUUGGGGGCUGGAAUGAAAGGUCUAACGAAGGUUCAGCUGUCUCURCCUUAUAUAUUAAAUUUACAUUUUAGGUGAAGAUGCCUAAUUAUUAAUGAAAGACGAGAAGACCCUAUAGAGCUUGAAUUAAACUUUUUUUURUUAGUUUCUAUUUAUUAGGUUAAAUAAUAUUGAUUAAGUUAAUUUUUGUUGGGGUGACAUUUAAAUUUUAUUUGGUUUUAAAACACGAUAAAAAUACUUUUUAAUCUAUAAUAAUUUAUUUAAAAUGAUCCAAUAAUAUUGAUCUUAGGACUAAGUUACCUUAGGGUUAACAGCAUAAUCUCUUUUGAGAGUUCUUAUCGACGAAGAGGAUUGUGACCUCGAUGUUGGAUUAGGAUGACUAUUAGGUGCAGCAGCUUAAUAGAGUUAGUCUGUUCGACUAUUAAAUUCCUACAUGAUCUGAGUUCAGACCGACGUGAGUCAGGUUAGUUUCUAUCUUCUUUAAUUAAUAAAUAUAUCUUAAUAGUACGAGAGGAUUUUAGGGUGAAAAUGAUUUUAAAAUUGUGAAAGAAACUAAUUAUAAA